CAGCAUUUAUAAUGCAUUUAAUACUUACAGCUAAAACAGAGAUCUGACUGGAAAAUACAAGGAAUAUGGUGAGAUGCCCCAGAAGUUAUCCUGGGCAUGAACAGCAUCAUGAGCUGUGCAACUCAAGCCUUGAGUGUUCUGCUUUCUUCUGGGACCUCUGCUAGGAGUGCAACACCUGAUCCCCUCCCCAGAGUGCUCCAGGAAUGGAUUUCCAGCUGCGCUGAGCACCAACAGAUCCACUCCAUUCCAGCUGGAGUUGGAGCUUCUGAUGUGUUUUGUGCCGCUCUGACAUCAACAGCAACAAACAAGACAAGGAGAGAGAGAGAAAGAAACAC